rnacentral:rRNA from 1 species
UACGGAGGGAGCUAGCGUUGUUCGGAAUUACUGGGCGUAAAGCGCACGUAGGCGGUCCGGUAAGUCCGCUGUGAAAGUCAAGGGCUCAACCCUUGAAUGCCGGUGGAUACUGUCGGGCUAGAGUCCGGAAGAGGCGAGUGGAAUUCCCGGUGUAGCGGUGAAAUGCGCAGAUAUCGGGAGGAACACCCGUGGCGAAGGCGGUUCUCUGGGACGGUACUGACGCUGAGACGCGAAAGCGUGGGGAGCGAACAGG